CCAGGGGAGGGGCUGCCGGAGCGGCCUCUUUCUUCUCCCGCUUAGCCCUGCCCGCGCCGGGGCGGGGAGGCUGCCUGAAUCACGGGCAUCAUGUGCCCGACGCCCGGGCUCCAGCGGGGCAUUUAAAUGCCAGCGGGCGCCGGGCCCGGAGCAGCGCAAGCCUCCGCCACCAUCUCCGCCGCCGGCCCGAAGCAGACGCCCGGCCCGAUCCGUCUCGCUUGGAGAGAGACGGUUGCGCGCUCCUCGCACGGGUCCUGCUUCGCAUCCGUCCCCGCGCUGUGCGCCCUCGCCGAGGCCGCUCGCCAUGAGAGCCAUCCCCGCGCCCGGGAUCCGCUUCCUGCGCUCCUUCUCCAGGGACAGCUGGUACCGGGGAUUAAUUCUUGUGUUGACGUUCCUGUGCUACACCACUUUCCAUCUCUCACGGAAGCCCAUUAGUAUAGUAAAGAGUGAACUGCAUUAUAACUGCUCUUCGCGGGGACCCAAUCCGCACAAUGAAUCAAACAGCACUACGUGGUGUGACUGGAAGCCUUUUGAUCAGGACAACUACAAAGAACUCUUUGGAGCCUUGGACAAUGCGUUCCUGGUUGCCUACGCUAUAGGAAUGUACAUCAGUGGGGUCUUCGGUGAGCGCCUUCCAUUGCGCUACUAUCUGUCUGGAGGAAUGCUGCUGAGCGGGUUGUUCACUGCAUUAUUUGGACUGGGCUACUACUGGAACAUCCAUGAACUGUGGUAUUUUGUUCUUGUACAGGUCCUCAAUGGCUUGGCACAAACGACGGGAUGGCCCUCGGUAGUGACGUGUGUUGGCAACUGGUUUGGAAAGGGGAAACGGGGCUUAAUCAUGGGCAUCUGGAAUUCGCACACAUCUGUGGGAAACAUUUUAGGAUCCUUGAUUGCUGGUGCCUGGGUUUCAAACGCCUGGGGCCUGUCGUUCAUCGUGCCUGGGAUCAUCAUUGCCAGCAUGGGCGUCAUCUGCUUCCUGUUCCUCAUUGAAUAUCCCGAAGAUGUCGACUGCAGCCCUCCUCUCCAUCACGCUGCCGGUUUGGAAGAGAAAGGUCUCGAGGCGGGCCACUCCAUCAGCGACGGGAGCCUAAAUGUCUCCAGCAACAGCCGAGAAAACAUUGUGGACAUGUCGGAAGGUAGCAAAGAAUCGGCGGACGACCGGGAAGCCAUUAGUUUCAUUGAUGCCCUCCGGAUACCUGGCGUGGUGGAGUUCUCCUUUUGCCUCCUGUUUGCAAAACUAGUCAGUUACACGUUCCUUUACUGGCUUCCCCUCUACAUUGUGAAUGUGGCUCACUUCACUGCGAAAAAGGCGGGGGAUAUGUCCACUCUCUUUGACGUCGGCGGCAUAAUUGGAGGCAUCAUGGCAGGUCUCAUAUCUGACUACACAGGUGGCAGGGCCACGACAUGCUGUACGAUGCUCAUUUUGGCUGCUCCCAUGCUCUUUGUCUACAACCAUGUUGGCCAGACUGGACUAGCAACGUCAAUAGUGAUGUUAAUUUUCUGCGGCGCCCUCGUCAACGGGCCUUACGCUCUCAUCACAACUGCGGUGUCUGCGGACUUGGGCACUCAUGAAUGUCUCCAAGGAAACUCAAAGGCCCUUGCCACCGUUACAGCCAUCAUUGAUGGAACGGGAUCUGUCGGUGCUGCUCUUGGACCCCUGCUGGCAGGUGUGAUCUCUAGCACCGGCUGGGACAAUGUCUUCUACAUGCUGAUGGCCGCCGAUCUCCUGGCUUGCCUAUUCCUUUCACGUGUGGUGUUCAAAGAAAUACGAGGGUGGUGCGGCUCCUACAGAAGAAAACGAGGCUCUUGUGUGGCAUUAACAGACCCAGUAAUGUUGGAUACGAAAUAGUUUGCAGUGUCAGACAUCACUCUUGAGUAGGCAUGUUCUGGGGCCAUAAGUCAUGCUUUAAAGAAUUUUGACGGAGACCCCCGCGACCGGAGGAAACUAUCGAGGCAACAGGGAGAGCCUUGCCGGAGUCGGUUGGUUUUGUUCACAGCGGGAGGAAUAAAUGAAGCUGCUGAAACGGGAUGUGCUCCAGAAACAAAGAGAACUCUCUUACCAAACACCAGUCAAGCUGAUCACCAGCUUCAUACUUUUUUUAAAAAAGAAAAGAAUAAGAAGAAUAACUGAUGGAAGGGAACAGGGGAACAUGAUGCCGUGGAACCAAAGGAGAAGAAAAGCUGGCAUGUUUGAGAUCCGUGCCCAUAUCCAAAGCAUCUGUUUUGUAUCAAUUGCCCUUUUGUUACUGCGAUUUUUUUAUUAUUAAAAAUGGCACGGGACCCGCCGGUGGUACUUUUCUGUCUCCUGGAACAUAAGGAGAACCUGCUGGGUCAGGCCGAUGGCCCAUCUAGUCCAUCAUCCUGUUCUCCCAGUGGCCAACCAGAGGCCUCUGAGAAGCCUGCAAUCUGGACCUGAACUCAACAGCUCUCUUCCAACAGUGGAGAUGUGGCUAGUAGGCUCCGAUAGCUUCAUCCUCUGUGAAUUUGUCUGGUCCUCUUUUAAAGCCAUCUUGCAUGGUGGCCAUCACUGCCUCAUUCAGAAAGUUUUGGUCCUGGGUCUUCCGACGUUCAGCGUCAUUGGACGUCCCCAAGUUCUAGUCUCGCGAGAGAAGCAGAAAACCUUUUCUCUGACUGCUUCCUCUACAUCUUAUACACCUCUUGCCAUGUCGCCUUUUUCCUCUCAACUAGGAAGCCCCAUAUCUUGUAACCUUUCCCCACAUGGGAGUUGCUGUAUCACCCUGUUUGUGGCCCAGUGGGAGCAGCUAUACCCUCCUAACUGUUGUCAUUGGGAGUGAGAGUCCACCUUACAUGUAGUUCUGUAACCCUUCAAAGUGGCUACAAAGCAACCCGCAAGGGCAGUUUUCUGGGUGCUGCACAAUACUCCUACUAGAAAUCGACCGCAAUGCACGCUUACCAGGCAGAAAGUGCUGCUGAAAACUCUGGGUUAUGAGUUAACAUCUAUGCCAAGUACAGUGGUACCUCGACUUACGAAUUUAAUGCGUUCCAAACGCACAUUUGUAAGUUGAAAAAAAUUGUAAGUUGAAUCCCAUAGGAAUGCAUUGGGAG